UGCAGGUUACUAAUAUGUUAAUUAGCUCUCGCAGUGUGCGACCCUAUUGGCUCUUCGUCCGAGUCAAUUUCCCAUUUGCAGCCUGACGUCAGGGCCGCUCCAAAGCUCUUAAACUCAUCUGCUGUGUGAUCCCUCUAAAAAAUCGCCCCACCAGUCAGCGGCUUCCAACGUGCGCGGCUGCCUCUCGCCCCCUCUCUCUCUCUCGCCGCUUGUGCAAUGUCUCCCUGAAGAAAAGCGUAAAGUGUUAAAUGUUUGAAACACAAAACCGCCGAGUUUCACAUGCUGAAAAGGGACUCCGCUGCUCGUGCGCGCGGCACCGCUGUGUCCGUGCGUUAGACUCCGCACCACAGAAAAACUCCUGCGCUCUGACGCCCGCGAGUCCGCGGCUGCACCCGGGGACCAAGAAAAGCUCGUUUUUCACUCUCCAGACAAACGCGUAAAAAUCAAACUGGCUCACGUUGUUCCCAACCAGCCCAGUUUGACAGCUGCUCUUCACCCCGCUUGGAGGACUGUCAGCAGCAGCAGCAAGAGGAUGGCAUCAGAGCUGGCAAUGAGCAACUCCGACCUGCCCACCAGUCCCCUGGCCAUGGAAUAUGUUAAUGACUUCGAUCUGAUGAAGUUUGAAGUGAAAAAGGAGCCGGUGGAGCCCGAUCGCAACAUCAGCCAGUGCAGUCGCCUUAUCGCCGGGGGAUCCUUGUCUUCCACCCCGAUGAGCACGCCUUGCAGCUCGGUGCCCCCUUCCCCAAGCUUCUCGGCGCCCAGUCCGGGCUCGGGGAGCGAGCAGAAGUCACACAUAGAGGAUUUCUACUGGAUGUCCGGUUACCAACAGCAGUUGAAUCCAGAGGCGCUGGGCUUCAGCCCCGAAGACGCAGUCGAGGCGCUGAUCAACAGCAGUCACCAGCUCCAGUCGUUCGAUGGCUAUUCCAGGAGCCAGCAGUUCGCUGGCGCAGCCGGGGCAGGAGGCACCAUGGCCGGGGAAGAGAUGGGGUCCGCCGCGGCGGUGGUGUCGGCGGUCAUCGCUGCGGCGGCGGCUCAGAACGGAGGGGCACACCACCACCAUCACCACCACCACCACCACAGUGGCGGCCACCAGGGGCCCGGCGGCCAGAGCAACGGCAUUUCUGGCUCAAAUCAAGCACACUUGCGCCCGGAGGACCGGUUCUCGGACGAGCAGCUGGUGACCAUGUCGGUGCGGGAGCUCAACCGGCACCUACGGGGGGUCAGCAAGGAAGAGGUGAUCAGAUUGAAACAGAAGAGGAGGACCCUAAAGAACAGAGGCUACGCGCAGUCCUGCCGCUACAAGCGGGUCCAGCAGCGGCACGUCCUGGAGGGAGAGAAGACGCAACUCAUCCAGCAGGUCGAGCACCUAAAGCAGGAGAUCUCCAGGCUGGUCCGGGAGAGGGACGCGUACAAAGAAAAGUAUGAGAAGCUCAUCAGCACCGGCUUCAGAGAAAAUGGAUCCAGCAGCGACAACAACCCUUCAUCCCCGGAGUUUUUCAUGUCAUCGAGAAAAUUCCUCCAUCUGUGAUUUCAAGCCCCGCUCCUCUGUGCCCUUGGCUUCCUGAGUCUGGCCCGUCGUAGUCCCCUUCUGUCCUUUGCGUCUGUCUCAACCCACAGCAGCAGACUUCACAGUGGGCACAGCAGAUCAAGGUCACUAUGUAGCUGUGGUUACGUUGCCCCUCCCCCCAAAAAACAAACCGCCCCUCCCUCGGCUGACGGCCCCAAUGACAGAGAAGGUAGACUCCAGCCCAGGUAAUCACAGCUUGUAGGUGUCUGUGCUCGGAAUCGUUGCUUCUCCUUGAGUGUGUGUGUGUGUGUGUGUGUGUGUGUGUGUGUGUGUGUGUGUGUGUCUCCUUACACACUGUGAGAGGAGAUGACUGAAGUGUAUCCCACUGAGUUGGAGUGAACCUGAAAAAAAAGCUGGGCCCUUUUUCCUGCUCUGAUCACAGAGUAGGUGUGUCGCUGGCUACAGGCGGUUGCCAUGUGUUUAUCAUCACAGGAUGUCCUCUCACAAACAGGCUCAAACUUUGUUAGCCUCUCGCUAACUCACACUCACAUCAAGUAGCCUAUUAUCCUCUACAUUCUCCUGCUCACGCCAGCAGAUAACUACUGUUUAACUGUACACGUAAUCACAUAUGAGUUUGCAUCAGUUGUCAGCCAUUACUGUACCUAUACUUAACAUUAUUUCCUAUAAAAAAUACAAUAUAUAUACAACUGAUUUGAUUGGUAAAUAUGUAUGAAUGGCAUUUGAAGAGUUUAUUUUUGACCCACGAAGAUCGAGGGGGACAAUUCAAAAGCACAGGCAUUUGAGAUUGUAGUAGGCAUCCUGUCAAGCGUGUUGUUAAGUUUAGGCAACUAAAGUAUUUGAUGAAGUUCAGGAAAAGGAGGUUGUUUUGCUUCAGGCAUUUGUUUUUGGGGAAAUACACUUAUUCACUGUGUUGCCAAGAGUAAAAUGAGAAGUUCUAUUCUGCUCUCAUAUCUCUCUGCUAAAUAUAACGUAGUUUAGCUUUACUUAAAGAUCGGAAACAGCUAUUGGCUGAAGGUAACAAUAUCAGCCUCGCAGAACCUCUCCCCUUAACAAGUUGUUGUGUGGUGUUCAUUAAAUCCAAGUGUGAAAACUUCAGGUCAGCAAUAAAUAUUCAUUAUCCAAGAUGUACAGGUUAACCUUAGCCAAAUGCAUUUUGUUGCUUUAACAUGAAUUCAUGUUUUCUUGUAUAAGACAUUUGAAAAUCUGUUAAAUGAAACAUUGGGAAAUUAGGAAACUUGUCUAACCGCUCAGCUUCGACAAAAGUUUACAAUCGACUGUGUCCUCUCACAUGAAGUGUCAACCAGACGCCUUGUGUGUCAGACCCCUGUCUCCCAUCACUCCCCUUUAAGUUCUUCCUCCAGCCUGUCGACUCCAGCGCUGACCUCCUCUCUGAGGGUGGCCAGCCCAGGCUUGGCCUCUCCUCUGCCCCACUGCAUUAAACAUUGAUGGAGCUGUAAGAGAAGGCUGGAGCCUGUCUCCUACUGUGGUCUGGCCCUUGCCUAUAGCCCGUCUCGUCUCUGGCUGUAACCUGUCUCCUUUCAAUUCUCUCUCCCUCCUAUUUUCUGCGAUUUAUAUCUUUGCUGUUGCUGUAGUUGUUUGAAUGUGGUCUAACGACGGUGUCUGCAGCCAGCGCUGUUCGGUGCAAGGAGACACAUCAGAUCUCAAGAAAUGAGAGUGAUAAGUGUCUGUUUGUGCCUGUGGCCAGUUGCAGAGCAGUGAGACACGACUUCCUAGAAAUGGCUGUGUGAGUGUCUAUUUGAUUCCUGUAUUUGCAUCACUGUGUGGUGCAUUUAUGUUGUGCAUUAUGCGUUUUACCACAAGCACAGCUAUAUGAAAGGAAGUGGUAGGAGACACAAGACGGCAAUACUUUCCUUCCUUUAUCUCUCUCUCUGUGUGUGUGUGUGUGAGUGUGUGAGUGUGUGUUCCAGUACUGCUGAACAUUAUAUCAACAAUUUACUGCGACUUUAUUCUCCCAAAACAUAGAUGUGUGCCUAAUCAUUACACAACAAUAUAUUAAUAUAAUACUUAUUAUAAAAUAGAUUCUAAACAAGUGUACACACAAUUCUAAGUAUUAAUAAUUAUAAAUUGGAUUUGUUCAGUGGAUGCUAGAAAAAUCCCCAGAGCCAGCAGUGACGAGCCAAACACUCACAGAUCCAAGAGGGAUUCAGUUGCCUCGACCCCACCUCAUCCUUACCCCGCGGAGCCCCCUACCGCCCCCCCAACAGAUCUGCCCCACAACCAACAAGUGGUGGAGUUCAGCAGCAUACCAGACCUGAUACUGAGUCCGGUUAGGACUGUAACAUGUAUUUAUAGAGUGCAAUGUGAGCAGGUUACGGGUAUUAGAAUGUGAGAGAAUGAGACGUUGUAAUCUAGCAUGUGUGAGAAUCGAUGUCUGGUAUUUGUUAGUGAGAAUGAACAAGUUCUUUGGGAAAGCACAUCUUGUGUGUGUUUGUGUGUUUAAACAUGGCUGAAGCAGGAUUGUGUUCAUCAGAAACGUCUGAUUGAGUGGCCACAAGGCAUGAUGGCUCUAGACAAUGUGGCAGACUCAUGUGUUGGGUCCUGAGAAAGUAUAUGGCUUCAGCCCCUCUGCCAUUAACCCACCACACAGCCCUCAGGCAAACUUAGAGUAAGCAUACUCCCUGUUCUGAACUACACAAAGUAGAGAUGUGAUACAUCCUGCAAGCACCGUGCAACACAAGAGCAGCACUCUUUAGAAAAUGAUAUAAUGAUGUGCUGCAAACACAAAGGAGAUGAAAAGGUUAUAAUUGCAUUACAUUGUUUCCCUCAGUUGAUGAACUACAUUUAUUAUUUUUCCACCAAGAACAAUCCGAUAUGAUAAAAUCAUCUGAACUGGCAAAACUACGCUUUAAAGAUACUCAUUAAUUUGAGGCGCUCAGACCAGUUGUCUGCUUUCAAGAAGAGAGAAUCACAUGAGAAUAAUCCUGAGUAAAAUAAUCACAGCUCUGAGCAACAGCAAACGGGGAUGAAUAAAUAAGGCUGACUAAAUAAAUGAUCAGUGAUUGUUUGGCUCUAAGUGCUGUUGCCGUAGCUCAGCAUCCUGAUUUAGUCGAAGCCUUCAGCCAUCCCUCAGUGGAGCUAUGGUCUUAGCGGAAGAGAAACAGCUAAAAAGCCCCAUUCUUCUUCAUACCUUCAAUAUUCAAUGAGAGCGCUAAUUGCACCACGCUGAAAGAAAGAAAAAAGUGUGGGGGGGGAGAAGUGGGAAGGUGGGAGGGAUCUACCGGCUAAUGGUCCGUAGGGGGAAAAUAAAGGAGAGAGGAAAAAGGGGGGAUUUAAGAAGUUAGACAUAUCCUCAGGAGGUUCCUUUCACUGUGUUUUUACCUGUGCGUCUCUUAGCUAUAAUGCUAAUGCUCAUUAGCCAGUCUGUGUGAUAUCCGCCGGUUCACGGCUACUGUUAGCGACCGUCACCGGGAGCACUGUGGUGAAGCGAGUGCAUCCAGUGGUUACACACGCGCUGCUCUGUUGUCAGCCGGAAUCCAACGCCAGCCUUUUUUUCUUUUUCCUUUUUCCUCCUCCUUUCUUGUUUUACCUCAAAAGUUAGUUGAAAAGAUAUCUUGGAAUAUAUUCGCUCAAGGUGCACCCAUUUGUGAAGAAGAAUUGGGGGAUGCAUAUGCAUUAAAAAGUCUUUGUGAGUAUAAAAUGCCGGCUCAGCACUUUAGCCUCCCCUCAUCCUUCCACUCCAGUUCUCCCUUUAAUCUUAGGCUGAGUUAUAAUACAAUAAGUCCUAUAAUCAUUGGAUCUCCUUCUCUCGACUUACCUGGGAUAAAUGGAUACGUUUAAACAGAGAGGUGGGGAAAAAGGGGAAAAACAAAAUGAUGCAAACUUAUAUUAAUCAUUAUAAAAAGAACGACAGAAAAAGUAAAAUAUGGUUUAAUGAUUUUUUUCCAAGUGAAUAUUCCACUUCUGACCACAAGGGACAGCGUGCACAGGGCUGUCUGUCUCAGGUACCAGGCUGCGGCGUCUCCUUCUCCUCUCCCACCACUGUCAGCCCCUUUCACUGUCCCCCGGUAUAACGGCAACUGAAAUACUGCUGAUUGGAAGUUUCUCUCAUAAAUCAUGCCAUCCACCAAACAAAGCAAUAAAGAUGUUUGUUUGCAUUAUUGAAGGAAAAGUAUUGCCUGAGGUCAGCUUUAAGCAGCCGUGUGUGCAUGCUCUCUUAAAAAUACAUGUUCACCUGGGUGUGUGCUUUGCCAAGUAGUUUUUGCGCGAAAAAAAAAAGUAAUUUGCUUAAGAAAAGCAGAUUUUGUUGAGUUCACUUUCUCGGUUUUUCGCCCCCAUGCAGGAGUAAUAGUAUUUUUGAUUGCUCAGCCAAUCAGAAAUCAGCUGAAUGUGGGAGUUUCAUUGUGGAAGCGGUGGUGGGGGUGAGAGGAGGUAUAUACUGGAAAUAUUUGUUUGGCUUAAUGCCUGAGCUUGUGCAUGACAGUUUGUGCCCUUUUAACGUUUCAGUUCUGUUUUUGGGGAUCAUUUACAACUCAAUCAUUUUAUAACAGCCUGUUCGGUGGUAUUCAUAUUGAUCUCAGCGGGUGCCACGUUCAGGCUCAUAAACAGACUUUACCUGAAGUGUACUCUUUCUGGGCCUUCAGAUCUUUUAUUUUGUCUUUCUUUCACUUUUCAUCUUCUUCUCUUUCUGCAGUUUGUCUCAUCCAGUUUCCUAUAUUGUGUUUUUAGUGCACAAAUAAAAAUACAAAUGAUUCUUACAAUUGAUAUCAUGUAAAAAAAACUCACAUAACCAUCUAACCUCAGACGCAAGCACAGCACUCUCUGGUCAUUUUUCUUGAUUAACUGUACAUGAAUUAAUGAAACUAAGUACAUUUUCUACAAGCUCAUCUGACACCUAAUGUCGAUGGCAUAUUAUCCAUUUAAUAACCUGGCGGGAGUCAGGACACACACACAUUACCUGUGUGAGAUCUUUUUCAAAUGAUUACUAAUUAGAGAGCAACCCAACCCAGGUCUCUAUCAACAGUGUCCUCUGCUCAGCUGGUCAGUCAACAGCAUUCCAGCUUAAGCUUGAACCUGGUACACUCAUUAAAACUAAACCCAAGUAUUUGGUUUGCGGUCAUGAAGCCUUCAAGCGAUUCCUCACUGCUUGUGUGUGUGUGUGUGUGUGUUUGAUGAAAGCGUAUAGCUCUGUCCCCAGUUGCUGUAACUUAAACUGGUCCACGAGAGUCUGUUCUGGACUCUUGACUCUACUCUUGUGGCCUUCAAGCAUGCAGCACUUCAUUCUGAGGAGGAUUUCUGCUUUGCGAGGCCAACACACUCCUGUCUGACUGAGGUAGUUCCUGAAGAAGACCAACAGUUCUCCAGUUUCCCCCUUGAGGGAGUUAAAUCGCAAAGCUUCAGGUCACAGAGACAUUUUAAAGGUUUAAAGGAAAUGGGCCUCAUUGCGAGUAGAGGACGUGCAGUGGAGAGAGUUACAUAAAUGACGGAUAGUAAAUGGCUUCCUAGAGGGCUGCUGCAGAGUGAGGGGAUAACCUACCGGCUGAGCAGUGAUGACAUCGCGUCGGCUGACCAAUCGCAAGAAGGCACCUACAAAGCACAACAAUAGAAAAUGACUUCACGGAAGAACAAAAGAAGAGACCCGCUGAAAUCCCUCGAAAUCCCUACAGCGAAAUUCUUGAAAGCCUCUUACUACUCCCGUUUCCCUACUUGAUAUUUUACAUCCAGCUUUUUUCUACAAAACACACUAAAAAAAAAAAGAAAAAAGAAAGAGGACUCGUACUAAUGACAUUGUUGACAACGCCAGACAUUGGAGGAACUAUUUUCUCUAGGUGGGAAGAUCACUGAUGCAUGCUUCUGUAAAUAGAUCAUGAUAAAAACCCUAUUCUUAUUCCUAAUAUAGGAAGUAUACCAAGUCGCUCUCACCAACUUCAUAAACCUUCACGACUGUGGAUAGAGUACUCAUGGUUCAUUUUUUUUCCUAUAUGAAGUCAGUAUUCUCCUUACCUCCUCAGAGACCAUGUAAUUAUCAUUUCCCUCAUCAUUUCUCUACUCGUUGGAGUUAGUUGGACUGAAAAAUUGUACUUCCUCUUCGUCUUAUUCUCUUUACAAAACAGCCUAGUCUUCCUCUCCAAUAUCCACACAAGUACAUGUAAAUAGAGAUGAAUGACGACAACAGCAUGGAACAGACCAUAGUGUAUAUGUACCACUCCCCUCGUAGAUCACAAAUCUCAGUAUGUGGAUAUUUCAGACAACCUUUUUAAAGCGUUUAAAAUAUUGAACUUGUUUUUCUGAUAGUUAAAGACAUACUCCCAGGUAUCUGGACAUUUUCCUGUGUAUAUGAAUAGAUGCAUAAAGGCAGUAGCUAUAGAUAAUGUGGUUACUUGACUACCUGGCAAGAAUAAUAAGGCAGCAAUUCUUCUGGUUUCAUCACUGAACGGUCAAAGUGAAGAGGAAAAGCAGGCUGUUCACCUGAGCCAUGUGUCCUUUCUAAACCUUUUUUUAAACAUUUAAAAUUUUAUAGUAUUGUAAUUUAUUAUUUUCUCUCAGAAGCUAUCUACUUAUUUUUCUGAUUGCAAUAACUCCCUUCCCCAUCCACAUACAGUAUUUGGGUUGGAACUGCUGUAACCGUCAGCCUGAGAGGACACGUUUUUUUCUUUGCAUGGUUUGAAACGGUGCUCUAACAAGGAGCCUGCACAUCGAAGAAAAGGAACUCAUCACUGAUUGCAACGUAGACACGAGGACUCCGACCUCCGUCUCCUAUGGAUUCUCAAGAAGACACAAAUGGACAGACAGAUAAUAUGCCAAGCCAAUGAACAGACAACCUCAAAGGUUACCACUCUCACUAGUGAAGACAGAGCAAACCUUUGCAUGGACAACAGGGAAAAUGCUAGCUCGUUGAACACCUCAGCUCCAUCACCGUGCAUCCUCUACCUCUCAGUGUGUAUUGUGCAACAAGAAACCAUGACUUUUUUCAGUGUCCCCGCUACUGUCCGCACAGCAGUGGGGACACACAGAGGGGGGAGUCGCUCAGAGCUGAAUUGCACUGAUGGACAAACACGGCAAUGGGGAAGACAAAAACAUUUACUCACUUUGACUCAAACACACACACACACACGAGUGCAUGCAUACAGAUGCACAAUCAUACACAGCGCCACUCGAAUAUAUUGCUGUAUAUAUGUACAGUGUAUCCACUAUGUAUAGUCCCAGAUGCUGUACUUUGCAUGUUGACUUGUAGAUGGAACGUGACCAUUAUUCAUAGAAGAGAUUGAGCAGGUAGACCGAGUCAGUGGGUUGACUCUCUGAACCAAUGCAAGCUCUUUGUCAGCUUUACAUCCCCUCACUUUGCUUUUGGAAAAUGUAUGCUAACAUGACUGAAAUCGUUUGACCGCUCCCGAUCCUCUUGUGCAAGGUCCUCGUCAGCCAAACGGUGAUGCUGAUGGGUUUUAAACCCUUUAGAAGGGACACAUAACCUGCCUCUGAUGACAGACAGAACCCAGCCACAGUGAGCGUGGGUAGGAGAAGAGGAGAUGGAAGGCAAACUGGGGCGCUCCAAUUAAGUGGCAGCACACAAAGUGGCAUGGGGCAUCCUGCCAGCAACUGUCUAUUCAUCCUAUGUCAAAGGGAUUUGCACAUCUCAAUGAGUCUACGCGCUGCCAGAGAAGUCCGAGAGCAGAGCAGAGGAGAGCAGAGAAAUGAAAGCGAGGCUCAAGGGAGAGGGUCGAAGAGAAAAAUGUGUGGAUUUCUACCAAAAAUGUUAGAUUGUACUGGACUCAUGUUCAAGUAUUCUCCUGCUCUUUCCACAUAUAGAAUCUUCUGUUCUUGGAGAGUUCAAUAACCCCUCGACCUCAGACGGUUACACCAUCAUGCGGCUCUCUAGACUGUCAAGACCUCACGUGCUGUCGGAGGUUAACGUUGAGUUAAUGAGCCUGGCUCUCAGCUCAACCAGAUGUUCAGCCUUGUGGUUAAAUACCUGUUACCCUUCUCUCGCGCCUGCCAACUACAGCUGAACUCUUCCUGGACACAGCAUCAUGAACAGCUUCACCAAGUAACAAAUGAUGAUGUGGGAGCAACUUCAAAGUGUGUAAAACAAGUUUCUUUUUUGACUGAAGAUAAUUAAAAUGCAAUCUACCAGCAGACACAAAUUACCAAGGAAAACAGUCACUGUAUCAGAAGACAUGUGGAUACAUACUCCGUAUUCCCCUUCCUGCAGCCGAUUUACAUGAAAAAAAUCUCCUUAAAUCAUAUACUGUCAGAUCACAUUCAAUCAUAAGAGCGUAUUUACAGUCAACAUGUAAACAAACUUCAAAUCAAGACUUAUGACUUAGAGGUGAUUAGUUAAAGCAGAUUUAAAAUACAGGAAGGAUGAAGAUGUCACCCAAACAUGAGAAAAUAGUAUGUGGUAGAAAACAAGACACUGAGCAAGAGCUGAUCUUCUCUGAGCCUCGAGGCUUUUCACUUUCUCAGAAAUGAAACAAAGCCCCAUUUCUGUGCAGCUGCAGGCUAUUUGUGACAGGUCGGUUUGUUUUCAUAUGGUUUUGCAUGUAAGUGCUCUGGUGCUUUGCCCUGGUAGUCAGGCAGCCAGUGCACUUUUAUCUGGCAAUGACCCUGACCAAUGUAAGGACACAUAUGUAAACAUGCACAGAUGUUCAUAUCCAAAAUGUGUGAAAGUGGAUCCAAACGCAUAGAGGCACAUCCCUGCUCUUAUUUAACACACACACACACACACACACACACCACACACACCAUGCUAAUCUAAACAGCAAGGCUGUAUGUAAACAGAUUGUCGACAUAAUGGGAUUGUUCAGUGUGCAAACAAUAAGCUGUUAGCGUAAUCACAGGUCAAAGAUAUAUUACCCAGAGGGCCACGCUGUAGGUAUAUUAACAUGAUGGAUAUGUGGGAGAGAGGAGGGGGCAGGGGAUAUGAAGGAUAUAGAGCUCUACCGAUUCAGAUUUACCCCCUAUCGGGCCCCCGUCCGCUGCGAUUCUCUCCUCUGCCUCCCUCGUAUUGGCCCCAUUUAAUCAGCCUUUGUCCUUCCCCCAUUCGCCCACAUCUUACUUACACUCACUUCCUCCAUUUUUAUUUGUUUUUAUUAACAUUUCUCACCUCUAAUGCCUCAGUCCUGUCUCUUCUCCAUCCUUUAGAUGGAUAUAAUCUAUUUCAGCAAAGUCUGAGCAAGUAAGUUUCUGACGAACAAUGUGAUGAAUAGAACAGCUACACAGUUGAUUCAGAUAAUUCUACGUUAUACUUGACCAUGCCGAAAACAAGAGCAAGAGCGUCUCACUGCGUAUCAGCAAACAAGUGCUGUGUCAGUCAGGCUAAACCCUGUGCAGCUUACUCCAUUGCACAUACAGCUUAUUAACUUAUCUCUGCUUUAUUUGAUUACCAUCUAGCCCAAUCGCUCAACUGGUUAAUAAGUCCAUGUCGUCCUGACUAAACACUCCAUUAGUGUCAUCACUGGCAAGCUUGUGUGUGUACUGCAUACGUCUGUGGGCCAGUGGAGCGGAUACACUUUGGGCCCGAGUGACACAGAGUAAACACAGGAGCAGAACACUGGGAAGAAAAACAACCUGUAAGACACAGAAUAGGUACAAAGAUGGCCCGUCUAUUGAUGACGACAAUCAGGAACAACAUCAGGAACUUCUGCCUAUUUGGCAUUUAAGGCUUCUGUAGGAACAUCCCAUAUGUGAUGAAAUACAGUGGAGCUGCCAGUUGGAAGUCAAAUAUUUGAAUAAUCAAUCAAAGACCCUCAAGUGGAAGAUACAGGGUUAUUUUUGUCAGUCAGUGUCCAGUAUAUUUCUGAGGGCAUUUCAGUUCCCAGAAGUGGCUGCAGAGUGAGCGCUCCUCGUUUUUUCAUUGCACUACAUCAAGUCAUCCUGUCUGCUUUGUGAUCUUUGAUUUUUGUUUGACAUGUAGUUUCAGCAAAAAAUGUUGUUACACAUUUCCUAAGUUUUGUUGGCAUAGUUAGUGUGCAUCACCCCAGAGUGAGAACUUGGCCCGUUUGCUAUAUUACAUGAACAAAGCUGUCACCCCAAACAUCCCACCAAACCCUGUUCAAAAAGUUUGCAGCUUAAAGGAACAAAUUGUUGACUCUUAGUAUAUAAAAACUGUAGGUUUGGGCCUACAAUACAGUUUUGGAGGCAAACCAAAAAGGUCCACAAGGAUAAACUAAAUAGUUCAGGCAAACGGUUACUAAAUUUCAGCAUAGGAGGCCUAAGGGUAUUGUAGUAUUCAGAGCAGACCACCUUGUCAAACUGAAUGAAAACACUUAAGGGUAAAAUGUAUAAACUAGUGGCGAUAACAUAAACCUUUAGGAUCAUGAAAUCGUCCUGUGUUUCUAUGUGAAGUAAUGUUCACGAUAUUAAAAGUAUUUAAUAGAGAAAAAGAAUUAUGGAACGAUUAGCUCCUCUGACUUACACACAUACAUUAUCUGCCCCCCCUCACACACACACACACACACACAACGACACACAAACACACUCUGUGUCUCUUUGAAGAGUGGGGUGUCACGAUUAACAGUGACCUCAAGCCAGACAGGGUUGGGGUAGUGGGAGUGGGGCCAAAGGUGAAAGGAUUACAGUGUGUCAACCAUGUCGACUGCUCUGCUGUAAUCCUGACCUGCAGGCCGACCCCAGACUCUGGAAACAUGACUCACACGUCUCAGCUCAACAUGUUAUGAGUGUAUCACCAUAUUACUCACAGAAACACUAACUCGUUUGUACAUUUCAACAAAAAGGGGAUUUUAAGGCAUUUGUUUAAAUGCUUAAAAAAAGCCUAUGAAGUUGUAUUGGAUUUAGCACCAGAGAUACAUUGGAUGAGGGUUGAUCUAACAGCCAGACAGCAGCAAAGAUAGGGCAGACCUCCUUAUGUCACACAGCUAAUGACAGGGAUGAAUAAUAGAGCCUUUAAAGCCCUUACUCCCACCUCAUUCUGGCCUGCACAUAAGCUAAAGCACUGGGUGAGCAGCGAGCCAUCAAGCCCCUCUCCGAGAUGAGAUGGGCUCCCAAGAAGAUUUGGGGGGGAUGGAGGGAAUCGGAUUAACCCAAAUGCCUCAAUUGGAAUAAAUGCUCUGGGCUGACCCAAGUGUAAUACCAUUGAUAAAUGCUGUAAACCAAAUCUUUAGCAUCUGAUUAGGUAGCGGAGGAUAACGCAUCCUUUUUAGCCAACAUUAGCUGUGGUGAGAUAGCCCGGAACAUGACGUGAGGGUUUGUACGAGAAUGUACGGAAACAUGUACACGCCGAGUUUGUUAUGAGCAGUCGAGGACUUUUACAAAUAGCCAAGUUGCUCUUAUAGAAAUAAAUAAAUGGGGGAAUAAUAAAUCGCCAGAAGCUGCGGACAGGUGGCAUUUCAGCCUGCACCAUUUAGCUGUGCAGUCUGGUUCCUGACAGCUUGAUUUAGUCUCCUGCACCUGAGCCAGAAAGGAGAGAAAAUUAACGGCAGGAAAAAACAGCUUAACUAGAUUCCAAUUUACCUGCUUUGAAACAUAAUGAUGAAGCUAUUCUGCAGGAUGGACCUUUUUGGUACCUGUAGCAAGACCAUUGAGAUCAGGCAAAUGUUGUGCAAACCCAUUCACACGGAUAGAGGCAUGGCACAGCCAAGGAGGUAGCACAACUCUGCCAUCUGAGCCUGGUUGUGUUCAAGGGAGACAUUAGGGUUUUGUCUUUAGGGUGUAAAAUAGAGAUUAAAGUGUCUCAAGGGGAGAUGCCAGGAUGUGUGCUGUUCUCCCUGCUGUGAACAGGGUGUAAUCCUUCAGUUUCAGAGAAGUGAAAAGUUUGUAGAGUCCAGAAAGUUACGCAUACAUCCCUUCUGGGCCCCCGACAGAGCAGAGAGUGGGAAACAGCAGGGGAUAACCAUAUGUUAUCAAAGUGUUCUUCAAAGCUCCCGUCUUUAGUCCACUAAAUUAUACAGUAUCAUCACAUACUGUAUACCUGACAAAAAUAGAAGAAACAUAAUUAUGCAGCUCAAUGUACAAACACACACAAAAUCAUUUCUUGAAAAGUAUGUUUUAAGAAAAGUGUUGCCUUUGAAAAAUGAGGGGACGUUUUUUGGUUUCCUGCAAUUUCUUACCAGUGGCCAUGUCCUGAUGGUGUGGGUCAGCUCAUGAUUUUGUAUUUACAUGCUUUUAAAAUACUGCUGCUGCCGGACAAUUAAAAAUUUAUGGUUCCUAUCACAAUGAGCCCCUUCUGUUUCCAGAGGUUAAUUUGUGCUCGCCCCUCAUUUCAAUUGUACUGUAGUAAAUGUCCACAUUAUUUCCCACAUGGGCCUGGACCAGGGGUUUGAUUAUCCAAAGGUAGGCCACGGUUGGCUCUGUUAUUGUCAGAGGGGUCGUAAGCUGCAGUAACGGCUUCUAGGGUCUUAUUGCUAUGGCGAUCAGCCCCUUGCCACUUGGCCUCCAUGACCCCAGUCAGAGAUAAGCUUUAUAGGAAAGCACAUUAACAUGCUCUGGCAGUCACCUCCCUCCUUUAUCAAAGGCAAUUCUAUGAAAUCAAGUGUUUAUGGAGCCCCAGUGAGGGUAUAGAGCUGCUGAUUGCCUACAUUAGAGGUUGAGUGUAAAUGAGCUGGAGGUGGACAAUGGACCUGUAGUCAUGGGGAGAGCUGAGGAUGUGAUACUGAUGUUAUUCUCACUAAAUGAGCAAUAUUUUUUAAUGACUGCAACACCCCAAGAGCAGGUUACCAGCCCCGGCAUCACAAAUAUUGUCUGCAGUCUAAAUAUAUCCAUGUCUUCCACUCUUUCUACAAUAACUGACACUACCAUAACAAACGUUUAAUAUGCUUCUAGAUAUGAUGUAACAUUAUAUCUUGGAGUUAUUAAGUAUGUUGCUGUAGACUGUAAGUAACAUAACCUUCCUUUAUUGUUGCGCUACACCGGUUCUAUUCACAAAAUUGUCAAAAGGAUGUCUUUUUUAUUUCCUUGCGCAUCUGUUACAUUUAUACAGACAUUUUCCUGUGGCUAGGAACACAAAACUAGAGGUGUCAGAGGUGUGUGCCUGCUUACAGCCUGAUCACUGCUGAAAGAUCCUUUCAGUGCGUCUACAGUGAUGGAUGGUGAUAGCCCUGUGUCUUUGUACACAUCAGGGGGCUCUACUGUUGUCACUGGACAGAUAGAGGGAGCGAGAAAGAGAAAGAUGUAGCCGCAGCUUAAUGUCCUUCUCUGGUGCUGUGCAUGCUCUUUCCUAUUUGCUUUUCCCUUCACGGCACGGUUAACAUCGUAAAUUAACCUUUUCAAGUCCCCCGUGCUCAGAGACUGGUGCGCAGUAUAGACAAAGGAGAAAAAUAGAUCUGUGUUAUGCAAUGCGGUAGCACCGGUUAGUGAUGUAGCCUGUUACAGAAUCGAGCUCUUCCUUCUUCUUCUUCAGUGAUAGGGAAUAAAAAAUAAAUAACCACACUUUCCUCAGACGAGCAAACAUGUUAUUUUACGUGCAUGUCCUGUGUACUCUGCAUAUCAGUGUGAGGCUGCUUUUUGUUCUCCAUCCUAGAAAUGUAAAUGAAACACAUGAAAGAAAACAUACUGUAGAUCCCUCUGUUCUUAGUUCAAGUCUGUAAAUAGGAUGUAAAUAACAAACAGCUAUGCAUGCUAAUAUACAAGCAAUUUGUUCAGGUACUUUUGUAAUCCAGACUUCUCAUAUGGCAUGUAAUGAUGAAAAAAGCAAACAUGGAAAAAACAUAAUAAAUUGUGAACACAAAUAUGGUUUGUAAACAACUUCAAAACUGGAAAAUAUAUGUCUUUGCUGUUAAUGUUUUCUUACUGACGACUAAUGCAUUGGCCUGCCAUUUACUACAGUGCUCUGCUCAUGCUACUUUUUUAUGUUUCAUAAGAUAGGGCCGAGGCAAAAAGGACCAUAAAUCACUGGUUUGUGGAAGAGCCGGGUUGGGGGAAUAAGAAGAUGAGGGGAAGGAUGGCCGUCUGACCAUGUCGUUUUUUCCAUUGCCGCUGCACAUUCACAUGCACACACUUAAUUGAUGACAUAUCCUUAAUGUCGAACACAGACAAUAAAAUACCAUGGCAAAAACCGUUAAGCUUAAAAGCAGUAGAAACUGGCCUGCCAUUUGAGUUAUCUCACCAAAAAAGACCAAUCACCAGCUUUAAAGUGUGCUGUUAUUUUAAAAUAGUACAUAUUUGUUUCUGAUAAGCGAAUGCAAAAUCAUUAAAUAAACUACGAAGCUGGAGCAAGCGAUUUUGACUCAUUCCAAAUUCUCCAAAUCAUGAGGCAACGGGGAGAUUUUUGAAAACUUUGACAGAUUUUGUUUGCUCGUUUGUAAUAUAUGUCCAGUGAAAAACGAUGACCUAAAUGCCAAAUUUGCCUCUGCCCUAGCAAACUCCAAUGUGACAAUUUAUGAAGACAGAGAUGGAUGAAGUAUGAAGAAAAUCUUUCUGGUUUCUAAGAGUGUUUAUUUUCCACCAUGUUUAGAACCAUGUUAAAUCCCAAGGCGCUAAUGGUAGAUGGAAGUGUCUAAUUUUUAACCUGUGCUAAAGAUAUUUUAAAUUUAAUAAAUAAUUAUUGUAACAAGAAAA